AUUGAACGCUGGCGGCAGGCCUAACACGUGCAAGUCGAGCGGAUGAAGGGAGCUUGCUCCUGGAUUCAGCGGCGGACGGGUGAGUAAUGCCUAGGAAUCUGCCUGGCAGUGGGGGAUAACGUCCGGAAACGGGCGCUAAUACCGCAUACGUCCUGAGGGAGAAAGUGGGGGAUCUUCGGACCUCACGCUAUCAGAUGAGCCUAGGUCGGAUUAGCUAGUUGGUGGGGUAAAGGCCUACCAAGGCGACGAUCCGUAACUGGUCUGAGAGGAUGAUCAGUCACACUGGAACUGAGACACGGUCCAGACUCCUACGGGAGGCAGCAGUGGGGAAUAUUGGACAAUGGGCGAAAGCCUGAUCCAGCCAUGCCGCGUGUGUGAAGAAGGUCUUCGGAUUGUAAAGCACUUUAAGUUGGGAGGAAGGGCAGUAAGUUAAUACCUUGCUGUUUUGACGUUACCAACAGAAUAAGCACCGGCUAACUUCGUG
rnacentral:rRNA from 1 species